GAUGAACGCUAGCGACAGGCCUAACACAUGCAAGUCGAGGGGCAGCACAAGGAGCAAUCUGAGGUGGCGACCGGCGCACGGGUGAGUAACACGUAUGCAACCUACCUGUAAGAGGGGAAUAACCCGUUGAAAACGGACUAAUACCGCAUAACACUGUAGAACCGCAUGGUUUGACAGUUAAACAUUUAUGGCUUACAGAUGGGCAUGCGCAUGAUUAGCUAGUUGGUGAGGUAACGGCUCACCAAGGCAACGAUCAUUAGGGGUUCUGAGAGGAAGGUCCCCCACACUGGUACUGAGACACGGACCAGACUCCUACGGGAGGCAGCAGUGAGGAAUAUUGGUCAAUGGGCGAGAGCCUGAACCAGCCAAGUCGCGUGAAGGAUGAAGGUUUUAUGAAUUGUAAACUUCUUUGCAGGGGAAUAAAGUGUCCGACGUGUCGGAUUUUGUAUGUACUCUGCGAAUAAGGAUCGGCUAACUCCGUGCCAGCAGCCG
rnacentral:rRNA from 1 species